UACGAAGGGGGCUAGCGUUGUUCGGAAUUACUGGGCGUAAAGCGCGCGCAGGCGGCUAUCCAAGUCAGUGGUGAAAGCCGGAGCUCAACUCCGGAACUGCCAUUGAAACUGUUUAGCUUGAGGACGAGAGAGGUGAGUGGAAUUCCCAGUGUAGAGGUGAAAUUCGUAGAUAUUGGGAAGAACACCGGUGGCGAAGGCGGCUCACUGGCUCGUAUCUGACGCUCAGGCGCGACAGCGUGGGGAUCAAACAGG
rnacentral:rRNA from 1 species